rnacentral:rRNA from 1 species
CAUCAGGUGCGUCUAGAACGCUUUCUAAGCUUAUGGUACGUUCAGCGCAAACCAGGCACCUAUCUUGCACCGAUACUAACACUGUCUCCAAAUAGACCGAAAUGAGAUUCCACAUGACCCACAUCACCUAGGAGUUCUAUCGGUUGUGUCCAAAACAUUUUUUGAGCCAGUGGUACGUUCGGCACAAACUAUGCACCUAUCUUGCGUCAAGAUUAGCACUAUCUCCAAAUGGACCAAAAUGAGCAUCCAUUUGAGCCUCGUCACCUAGGUGUACCAUCGGGUGCGUCCAAAAUGAUUUCAGAGCCUAUGGUAUGUUUGGCGCAAACCAUGCACCUAUCUUGCACCGAUACUAACACUAUCUCCAAACAGACCAAUUAGGAUUCCACACGACCCACGUCACCUAGGAGAUCCAUCGGGUGUGUCCAAAAUGAUUUUUGAGCCUGUGGUACAUUUGACGCAAACUGUGCACCUAUCUUGCGUCAAGAUUAAAACUAUCUCUAAACGGACCAAAACUAGCAUCCACUUGAUCCUCGUCACCUAGGAGUACCAUCGGGUGCGUCUGAAAUGAUUUCUAAGCCUAUGGUCUUUAGGUGCAAACCGUACACCUAUCUUGCACCGACACUAACACUGUCUCCAAAUGGACCAAAACGAUAUUCCACAUGACCUAUGUCACCUAGGAGUUCCAUCGGGUGCAUCCAAAAUGAUUUAUGAGCCUAUGGUACAUUCGGCCCAAACCAUGCACCUAUCUUUCAUCAAGAUUAGCACUAUCUGCAAAUAGAUGGAAUCGAGAUUCCACUUCAGCCUCGUCACCUAGGAGUACCAUCAGGUGCAUACAAAACAAUUUCUGAGCUGAUGGUACGUUUGGUGCAAACCAUGCAUAUCUUGCACCGACACUAACACUGUCUCCAAGCAGACGGAAAUGAGAUUCCAUAGACCAAAGUCACCUAGGAGUUCCAUCGGGUGUGUCCAAAAUGACAUCCAAGCCUAUGGCACGAUCAGCGCAAACCGUGCACCUAUCUCGUGUCAGGAUUAGCACUAUCUCCAAAUAGACCAAAACAUUUGGCGCAAACCACGCACCUAUCUUGGACCGACACUAACACUGUCUUCAAACGGACCAAAACGAGAUUCCACCUAACCCAAGUCACCUAGGAGUUCCAUCGGGUUUUGUCAUAGUCAACGACGGUUGAAACUUCUAGGGAAAACUGCGAAUUAGGAGGGCAAUCCUCCUAGUGAACUGACCAUACCCCAAACUGACACAGGUGAACAAGUAGAGUAUACUAGGGUGCGUUGGGAGAACCAUGUCGAAGGAACUUGGCAAAAUGACCCCGUAACUUCGGGAGAAGGGGUGCUCUCCUAUCUUUUGAUUAGGAAAGCGGCACAUACCAGGUGUAGCAACUGUUUAUUAAAAACACAGGACUCUGCUAAGUGGUAACACAAUGUAUAGAGUCUGACUCCUGCCUGGUGUUGGAAGGUCAGAAGGAGAAGUGUGAUAAGCUUUGAAUGGAAGCCCUGGUAAACGGCAGCAGUAACUCUAUCUAUCCUAAGGUAGUGAGAUUCCUUGUCACAUAAGUAUCGACCUGCACGAAUGGUAUAACGACUGCCCCACUGUCUCCGACAUGGACCCAGUGAAAUUGAAUUCUCCGUGAAGAUGCGGAGUACCAAUGGCUAGAUGGUAAGACCCCAUGCAUCUUGACAAUAGCUUCACAGUGACAACCUUGAUCGAAUGUGUAGGAUAGGUGGGAGGUGGUGACACACAAUGACCAAUCUUGAAAGACCACUCUAAGGAUGCCUAUCGCUGUACGGAUCAUUUGGGGGAAGGGCAGGACACUGCGAGGUGGGUAGUUUAUCUAGGGCGAAUGCCUCCUAAAGAGUAAUGGAGGUGUGCGAUGGUAGGCUCAAGCAUUGAUUCUACUCAUGAGCGUAAUGGUAUAAGCCUUCCUGACUAUGAGACCGACUGGUCGAAUGGAGAUGAAAGUCGGCCAUAGUGAUUCGGGAGUCCCAUGUGAAAGGGCUCUUGCUCAAUGGAUCAAAGGUACGCCACUGAUAACAGGCUGAUGACUCCUAAGAGCUCUUAUCGAUGGAGUCAUUUGGUACCUCGAUGUCGACUCAUCACAUCCUAGGGUUGAAGAAGGUCCCAAGGGUUCGGUUGUUCAUGCGAUGAAAGUGGUACGUGAGUUGAGUUUAGAACGUCAUGAGACUGUUCGGUUCCUAUCUACCAUUGGUGUUAAAGGGAGAACUGCGAGGAGCCAACCCUAGUAUGAGAGGACUAGGUUGGGUCAACCUAUGGUGUACCGGUUGUUAUGCCAAUAGCAGUGCUAGGCAGCUAAGUUGGUAUGGAAGAAUUGCUAUGCCAUGGGAAAUCCUUCUCUAUACAAGUUCUCAUACGAGGUUUUUGAACAGAACUUCGAUAGGCGAGAGGUGUAAGCACCGCAAGGUGUGAAGCGAUCUCGUACUAAACGAAUGGAACUUUCCAAC